rnacentral:sRNA from 1 species
ACUUAGCCCCGAUUGCAGCAUUUGUUUGAGCUCAUUUUUUGUUUUUGGCUGCGGCGGCGAAGCCGCCGCAGCCAAAAACAAAAAAUAGCGAGUGCGGAAAGCGGGAUUAAGC